UACGAAGGGGACUAGCGUUGUUCGGAAUCACUGGGCGUAAAGCGCACGUAGGCGGAUAUGUCAGUCAGGGGUGAAAUCCCGGGGCUCAACCUCGGAACUGCCUUUGAUACAGCAUAUCUUGAGUCCGAUAGAGGUGGGUGGAAUUCCUAGUGUAGAGGUGAAAUUCGUAGAUAUUAGGAAGAACACCGGUGGCGAAGGCGACUCACUGGACACGUAUUGACGCUGAGGUGCGAAAGCGUGGGGAGCAAACAGG
rnacentral:rRNA from 1 species